UCAUAGCUUAGUUGGUAGAGUGCUUACUUUGCAUGCACAAGGCCCUGGGUUCAAUUCCCAGGAC
rnacentral:tRNA from 1 species